rnacentral:rRNA from 1 species
GUCCACGCCCUAAACGAUGAAUACUCGGUGUCGGGUCGCAAGAUUCGGCGCCUAAGCAAACGCAUUAAGUAUUCCACCUGGGAAGUACGAUCGCAAGGUUGAAACUCAAAGUAAUUGACGGGGGCCCGCACAAGCAGUGGAGCAUGUGGUUUAAUUCGAUGCAACGCGAAGAACCUUACCUGGGCUUGAAAGGCAAGAUUCUAGACGAUGAAAGUCGUUUACCCGCAAGGGGUCUUGUACAGGUUCUGCAUGGCUGUCGU